rnacentral:rRNA from 1 species
GACGAACGCUGGCGGCGUGCUUAACACAUGCAAGUCGAACGGAAAGGCCCUGCUUUUGUGGGGUGCUCGAGUGGCGAACGGGUGAGUAACACGUGAGUAACCUGCCCUAGACUUUGGGAUAACUUCAGGAAACUGGGGCUAAUACCGGAUAGGAGCUCCUGCUGCAUGGUGGGGGUUGGAAAGUUUCGGCGGUUGGGGUUGGACUCGCGGCUUAUCAGCUUGUUGGUGGGGUAGUGGCUUACCAAGGCUUUGACGGGUAGCCGGCCUGAGAGGGUGACCGGCCACAUUGGGACUGAGAUACGGCCCAGACUCCUACGGGAGGCAGCAGUGGGGAAUAUUGCACAAUGGGCGGAAGCCUGAUGCAGCAACGCCGCGUGCGGGAUGACGGCCUUCGGGUUGUAAACCGCUUUCGCCUGUGACGAAGCGUGAGUGACGGUAAUGGGUAAAGAAGCACCGGCUAACUACGUG